UAGAUCCGCCCUACUGCCGCACUCGGUUUGGUCAUGUGAACCGGAUCCACCCGCAUCUGCAUCCGGUUCACACAGCGGCGGUUGUUCUAAAUCGUUGCUCCUCUGACUUCUGCGCCUCGACUUUCCAAACUGGAAUUUUCAAACCUGCAGCUCUUCGCGCCAGACAUAUUACUUAGUUUUACAGAAGUGUUCAUCAGGAUCGAUCUCUACAAUUCAGCAAAACAGUAGCAGUCGUGCCACAAAGCUGGUACAGUGGUGGUGGCUGCGUUUGGCCAGAUUACCCGAGGGAUGAAAGGGUGGACAAGG